UGCCGGGUCGUCUAGUUUGGCAGGACGCCGGAUUCUGGUUCCGGAAACGAAGGUUCGAGUCCUUCCCCGGCAG
rnacentral:tRNA from 1 species